GGCUGGUCGUAGUGCACUGGUGUUGACAACUAAUUGAUCAUAGCCAGUUACAGAUUUCUUUGUUCCUUCUGCAAUCCCCUGCUUCACUUGACUGGCCUAAA
ensembl:misc_RNA Y_RNA Y RNA